rnacentral:rRNA from 1 species
AGUGAACGCUGGCGGUAGGCCUAACACAUGCAAGUCGAACGGCAGCACAGUAAGAGCUUGCUCUUACGGGUGGCGAGUGGCGGACGGGUGAGGAAUACAUCGGAAUCUACUUUUUCGUGGGGGAUAACGUAGGGAAACUUACGCUAAUACCGCAUACGACCUACGGGUGAAAGCAGGGGAUCUUCGGACCUUGCGCGACUGAAUGAGCCGAUGUCGGAUUAGCUAGUUGGCGGGGUAAAGGCCCACCAAGGCGACGAUCCGUAGCUGGUCUGAGAGGAUGAUCAGCCACACUGGAACUGAGACACGGUCCAGACUCCUACGGGAGGCAGCAGUGGGGAAUAUUGGACAAUGGGCGCAAGCCUGAUCCAGCCAUGCCGCGUGGGUGAAGAAGACCUUCGGGUUGUAAAGCCCUUUUGUUGGGGAAGAAAAGCAGCAGGUUAAUACCCCGCUGUUCUGACGGUACCCAAAGAAUAAGCACCGGCUAACUUCGUG